rnacentral:misc_RNA from 1 species
CUGACUACUAUCGGGCCAUUCUUGGCGGAUGGUCCGGAGCUGAGCGUUCCGGUCCCCCCUUCCGGGGCGGGGAUCGGUGGCUUGAAAGGAAGUGUGACACGCGCGUUCGCGUGCCAAGCAUUGCAGGCUCCUCGAGUCUUUUGCUGCUGGCAGACAAAACGCGAACCGUCGCGGUCUCGUCGUGCGCGCCGUGCUCCUCCUCUGGCGGAGGCACACCCC